AAAAUGUAAUAGGGAAUAUGAUGACUAAAUUAGGAUUUAUUUAUAAAAUAAAAUACAAAGGAAACCUUAAAAUACAUGAGUUCUUUCUCCUCCUCACCUUCUCCUUCCUCUUGUACUUUCUCUCUGUCUCUCUUUCCCUGAAAAAAAGUUUUUAGAAACAUAACCUCAAGCAAAAAAGAAAAAUCUCAAGAGAAUUUACUAUAUUAUGAAUAUAAAUUUCAAAACAUGCAAAGACAAUAUUCCCUAUGUAUGCAUGGUUACAUAAUUGGUAAAUUUGUAAAUGCCUACAUGAGAAUAACUAGGGACAUUUUUUAGCACCAAUCAUAUUAAAAAUACUCUGAUGUCACUUUAUUAUAUGUAAAUGACAGUACCAAUUUAACAGAGGAUAUCUAGAGCUAUAAAUAAGCUAUCUUGCAGGUAAGGAUCACAUUUAUGCCACGGGUACUGUUGCUGCUGCUUUCCACUUCUUUAGUGCUGAUUUUAUAGUUUCCUAUUUAUUUUUAGGAUUGUCCAUGAGGGAUUUACCCAAGAAUGCUUUGGAGUAUAUGAAAGCAUUUUUUUUUUUUUUGGUCAACGGUAAAAUCAUCUGUUUGAUAUAUACGAUCAUAUUUUACUUUCUAGAAUUGUGCUGCUUAAGAAACAGUCAAUAGAAAACAAGGAGACAAAUAGUGUUUCAGAACAAAAUGAACCAUUCCACUUGUGGUAUUGUUUCUUUUUGGUCAGGUCUAAUUUUGCUGCACGUGACAAACUAAGGUCUUGUGAGUUUAAGACAAAAUGAAAAUGUAUUGGUUUGUGUAACUUGGAUAAUGUCCUCAUCAUGGCUAGACUCAGAUGCAAGUAUUCAGUUAAUGUCUAUAUGUCUCUCUUCUGGCUGAGCAUCAACUUCCAGGCUUUAGUAGUCCUAUUCCCAGAAUUCUCUACUAGCCAUCCGAGCACUCAGAGGCCAUCUUCCUUUAAUAGAAGAGACCUGGAGAGACCUAGUUUGGAUUGAUGACAUGUUUCACUUGGUAAGCCAUUGUUUAAAUAAUCCUGGUGAUUUAGAGAUCAGCUGGAAUACUUACAAUUGGUCAGGCAAAGGAUAUUUGGAUUAUCAAUCAGAAUAUUUCAUUACAAAGAAAGUGGGACAAUGUAAUCAGGAGACACACUAAGAGAAGAUAUCACAGGCAUACAGUACUCAUGCACUACAUUGCUUCUCUUCCUGUUAUUCUCCUUCUCCAGACCUAAGGAAACAGGACAGUCGACAGACCAUGCACAUUUUAAAUACUCUUGGGUUUUAUUAAAGCACGAAUGAAUGAGCUUUUCUCAAGUAAGUCUGUCUAUGAUUCAUCUUUGUCAAUCUUUGGCAGAACAAGAACUAAGGAAGUUCUUAUCAGAAAAGCAUGUCUCAAAAAAAGUGUUUUGUUCAUUGAUGAUGUAACCCAUAAAGCCUGUAUUUUCUUGAUUUGUGAACAGUCUCUACCAAGGGAGUCCAUUCAUUUCCUUAGUCUGUAAGAUGCUCAUGGAGAAACAGAGGACAUACCUGCAUGAGAACACCAUCGGUGUAUGGGAUGGAAGAGAGAGCUUUGUGGUCACCAACCCCAGGGUGAUUUGUGUUGGCUUGUGUGCAUUUGUACUGCAAUGUUACAGUGUCCCUUACUUUGAGAUGCCCAUAUCACUUCUGAAUCAGACACUAAGUGUAAUUAAGCACUACCCUCAGCACAUCUCUCCUUUAAGGACAUUUUUAUUCACCAUGAUUUAGAACAUGACAAUUGGGUGAGAUUAAAGCAGCAAAUUGUGCCUAUAAAAUAAACCCCGGAAAAUAGCAAGGAACUAUAAAAUUUUAUAAAGGGGAAUACUGCACAUGCCUCCAAUCUGAUAAAACUUUUGUGAGCUGGGAGAUUAACUGUGAAAUAAAAAUAAGCCAAUACAGUGUGUGCCACAUCCAGACAAUAAACCGCAUAUUAUUGUUUAGAGUAACUUUUAUGUUCCCUCCCCAAAUGAUUCCUCAGUAUUGAGAGUAUCCCAGGCAGCACAGAAUUAAUUAGCCUUCAAGGAAAUUGGCCCAGGAGACAGUGGGCUACUCUGUCAAAUGGAGGAAACUGGGUGACAGUUCUGGAAUAUGAUAGUGUUUGAGCUUGGUGGAGAGGAUCUCUGGUUCUUGCUUUUGCUAGACUAGCCUCUUUAUUGGCUUGGCAUGUGUUUAUGUCUUGUCUGUUGUAAAGGAUGCAACAGAUUUCCUAGGCUUUUGAAAGCUAUCUGCUUCUCACUCAGGGUCACAGUGUUUUAUGACAUUUUAACUCUCAUCGACUCUAGCACCUCCU
rnacentral:lncRNA from 1 species